UCCGAUAUGGUGUACCGGUUAGCAUCACCCGCUUUCAUGCGCUCUAAACCGCUGAUCCGGGUAGAUCCGGGUUCGAUUCCCGGUAUCGGAA